rnacentral:rRNA from 1 species
CUUAACACAUGCAAGUCGAACGAGGUCUGUAGCAACAGAAGACAGAUCGUGGCCAUCGGGUGCGUAACACGUGGAUAACCUUCCUUCAGGUGGGGAAUAACCCAGUGAAAAUUGGGCUAACAGACGCCAAAACAAGACGGGGGCACAUGCUUUUGUCUUCAAAGCAGUGAUGCGCCAGAAGAGGAUCCGCGGCCGAUUAGCUAGUUGGCGAGGUAACGGCUCACCAAGGCAAUGAUCGGUAGCCGGAUUGAGAGGUUGGCCGGCCACACUGGAACUGAGACACGGUCCAGACUCCUACGGGAGGCAGCAGUGGGGAAUCUUGCACAAUGGGCCAUAGCCUGAUGCAGCAACGCCGCGUGGGGGAUGAAGCUUCUCGGAGUGUAAACCCCUUUCGACCCGGAAGAAUGCCCGCAAGGGUUUGACGGUACGGGUAUAAGAAGCCCCGGCUAGCUCAGUGCCAGCAGCCGCGGUAACAGAGUAGGGGGCCAGCGUUGCUCGGAAUUACUGGGCGUAAAGGGUCCGUAGGCGGUGUGGCAAGUCGGGAGUGAAAUCUCUGGGCUCAACCCAGAGGCUGCUUCCCACAGAUGCCAUGCUAGAGUGUGAGAGAGGCGAGUGGAAUUGCGGGUGUAGCGGUGAAAUGCGUAGAUAUCCGCAGGAACAUCCGAGGCCAUAGCGGCUCGCUGGAUCACAACUGACGCUGAAGGACCAUAGCUAGGGGAGCAAACAGGAUUAGAUA